rnacentral:rRNA from 1 species
AUUGAACGCUGGCGGCAUGCUUUACACAUGCAAGUCGAACGGUAACAGCACUUCUGUGGCUGACGAGUGGCGAACGGGUGAGUAAUACAUCGGAACGUACCUAGUAGUGGGGGAUAACUACUCUAAAGAGUAGCUAAUACCGCAUGAGAUCUAAGGAUGAAAUCAGGGGACCUUCGGGCCUUGCGCUACUAGAGCGGCUGAUGGCAGAGUAGGUAGUUGGUGGGAUAAAAGCUUACCAAGCCGACGAUCUGUAGCUGGUCUGAGAGGACGACCAGCCACACUGGGACUGAGACACGGCCCAGACUCCUACGGGAGGCAGCAGUGGGGAAUUUUGGACAAUGGGCGCAAGCCUGAUCCAGCAAUGCCGCGUGCAGGAUGAAGGCCUUCGGGUUGUAAACUGCUUUUGUACGGAACGAAAAGCCCUCUUCUAAUACAGGAGGGUCAUGACGGUACCGUAAGAAUAAGCACCGGCUAACUACGUG